GAUGAACGCUAGCUACAGGCUUAACACAUGCAAGUCGAGGGGAAACGGCAUUGAGUGCUUGCACUCUUUGGACGUCGACCGGCGCACGGGUGAGUAACGCGUAUCCAACCUUCCCAUUACUGUGGAAUAACCUGCCGAAAGGCAGACUAAUACCGCAUAGUCUUCGAUGACGGCAUCAGAUUUGAAGUAAAGAUUUAUCGGUAAUGGAUGGGGAUGCGUCUGAUUAGCUUGUUGGCGGGGUAACGGCCCACCAAGGCGACGAUCAGUAGGGGUUCUGAGAGGAAGGUCCCCCACAUUGGAACUGAGACACGGUCCAAACUCCUACGGGAGGCAGCAGUGGGGAAUAUUGGUCAAUGGACGGAAGUCUGAACCAGCCAAGUAGCGUGCAGGAUGACGGCCCUAUGGGUUGUAAACUGCUUUUGUAUGGGGAUAAAGUUAGGGACGUGUCCCUAUUUGCAGGUACCAUACGAAUAAGGACCGGCUAAUUCCGUGCCAGCAGCCGCGGUAAUACGGAAGGUCCAGGCGUUAUCCGGAUUUAUUGGGUUUAAAGGGAGCGUAGGCUGGAUAUUAAGUGUGUUGUGAAAUGUAGACGCUCAACGUCUGACUUGCAGCGCAUACUGGUUUCCUUGAGUACGCACAACGUUGGCGGAAUUCGUCGUGUAGCGGUGAAAUGCUUAGAUAUGACGAAGAACUCCGAUUGCGAAGGCAGCUGACGGGAGCGCAACUGACGCUUAAGCUCGAAGGUGCGGGUAUCAAACAGG
rnacentral:rRNA from 1 species